GGGGACGUGGCGGAAAUGGCAGACGCGCAUGACUUAGGAUCAUGUGGUAAUACCGUGGGGGUUCAAGUCCCCCCGUCCCCA
rnacentral:tRNA from 1 species